rnacentral:rRNA from 1 species
AUGAAGGCUAUCUCCCAUAUUGUUAGAUCUAGAGUUUAUUCUACAAAUGGUUUACUCCUUUAUUAUUCUGUUGGAUUUGCCAGUACAUUUACUUAUGCAAUUGGGAAGCGAAAACUAAAGUUCAAUUCCAGUUUUUUUUUCCAGAAACAUAAAACAGUGACAUACAAUAUAAUGCAUCAGCGGAAGAGGAGGAGGAGGCAUAUGAAGCUGAGAGAGGUGACGGGGAGCACAAGAAACUGCUCCCGCUGCAAGAGAGGGAGCCAUGCCAAUAGUCAGUUGUGGGCUUGUGGCGCUGGUCGCGACCGCCGCAUCACCAACCAUGAUCGUCCAGGCUGUGGCAUGGGGGUCAUGCUUGCUGCUUGCGCGGCGAUUCCCCCAUCGUGA